UGAGGUAUUAAAGGACCACUAUAGGCACCCAGAUCACUUCAGCUUAAUGAGGUGGUCUGGGUGCCAGGUCCAGCUAGGGUUAACCCUUUUUUUUUAUAAACAUAGCAGUUUCAAAGAAACUGCUAUGUUUAUAAUAUGGUUAAUCCAGCCUCUAGAGCCUCUAGUGGCUGUCUCAUGAAAAUCACAGUGAGAAGACGCCAGCGUCCAUAGGAAAGCAUUGUAAAUGAACUGGCUGAAUGCGCGCGCGGCUCCUGCCACGCAUGCGCAUUCAGCCGAUGACGUCGCUAUGAAGGAGGAG